UACGUAGGGUGCGAGCGUUAAUCAGAAUUACUGGGCGUAAAGCGCGUGUAGGCGGCCCGGUAAGUCCGCUGUGAAAGUCCAGGGCUCAACCCUGGGAUGCCGGUGGAUACUGUCGGGCUCGAGUCCGGAAGAGGCGAGUGGAAUUCCUGGUGUAGCGGUGAAAUGCGCAGAUAUCAGGAGGAACACCAAUGGCGAAGGCAGCUCGCUGGGACGUGACUGACGCUGAGACGCGAAAGCGUGGGGAGCAAACAGG
rnacentral:rRNA from 1 species